ACACGAACCGUACAAACGUUAUUCGGAAUUAUUGGGCUUAAAGGGUGCGUAGGCGGCGCGGUCAGUCGGGUGUGAAAUCCCUCGGCUCAACCGAGGAAUUGCGCCCAAAACUGCCGUGCUUGAGGGAGACAGAGGUAAGCGGAACUGAUGGUGGAGCGGUGAAAUGCGUUGAUAUCAUCAGGAACACCAGUGGCGAAAGCGGCUUACUGGGUCUCUUCUGACGCUGAGGCACGAAAGCUAGGGUAGCGAACGGGAUUAGAUACCCCAGUAGUCC
rnacentral:rRNA from 1 species